CGGCAUAGGGCGCGUCGAGCUCGGUAGUGCGGCCUUCUUCCACCCGGGCCCUCCACGGCCUCGGCUUGUGCCGGGUGGCCCGUGGGGGGCCCGGGAGCAGCCUCGGUCCCUGUCCUGCGGACGCUAGAAGCCCGAACCCUCGCGGCAGCCACCGCGGGGCCACGCCGCGAUUCUGCAGGGACUCUUUUGCCAGCGAUGCGCCUGGAUGGCGGCAGCCUCUGCGCGCGCCCUCCACUACUCCACCGGCCCCCUACUGUCCAGGUCGGGCCACGGAGAAGCCCCAGCUAGGCCUUCGAGGACAUCUCCGGGUGGCGGCGAGCAUGGCAUGGCGGGAAGAAUGGCAACCACCUGACAGCCAAGGCUGGCCCUUCGGGGCUUCUGCGGCCUGAGGCGGCGGGUCUGCGCAAGAACACUCGGCCAUCCCAGGGAGGGGUCGGACCCUGAACGAGCGCUCAGAACUGGAUGAACAGAGGCCUCGAUGGGACUGGACGAAGGUGAGAGGGCCCCGAAUAGCGGCGAGAGGAACGAUCGAUUGUUGGGCCGCGGGUCUUCCUUCCAUCCAAGAGAAGCCGGGACGCGACAAUCGCCUGUGGCCAAUCGGAAACGCUGGCGAAGACUUACCUGCCGCCGUAGAAGGCCUGUGUAUAUAAUAUGAAAAAGCUGCUCUCAACCUUUCCCCCGACCCUUUUCAGACUUUUGGCUAAAUCUGGUCAUGUAGCUGUAGAGAUUGCCGACGUAGGGUAGAGGUAGAAUACACGCGUGUACCCAGGCGUCAUAAAAAGAAGAUCGGAGACUCGUCUUCUACAAGUGACUUUGAAGUGGAAUUGUUGAGGCCGCCUCUAGAAAGACCCAGGAGCGACACUGGUUCCUGUUUGUUCAGUAGUUUAGAGGACCC
rnacentral:lncRNA from 1 species